GUAUACUUAAAUGCAGAGAGAGACAAUAAGGAGGAGAUAGCGGAAGACGGGGGUUUUCUUUUUCGACAGCUUUAUCUGGAGAGUUCAAGUCAACCUCUCUGUGAUUUACAGAGUGUCCUGAAAGCAACAUGUAACUGCAGCGCACAUUAAAGUUAGCUAGCAUGCUAGCUGACUCUGCUCUGAGCACCGCUAUGACAGAGCAGCUUUGGACCAUUGGGAGGUGGAGGUUUUUGGGUGUGGCAGUAGAAUGGGCAGCUAAUCUGAAAGAGGUGAGUGGGCAAUUAAACAAGGUCAGAGGUCUCUACAGACAUCAUGACAGUGGUGAAGAGACAGAAGAGGACGCCUAUGGAGGAAGAUACUUAACAGAGGAGAGGGGAAUGAAGAGGGAGAAUUGAAGAUUGUGCAGGUUUUUGGUGGAGCCUCCAGAGCCUGUGGGUGGCCUGGAGCUGGAGAAAAAGCGCUUUCUCUCUGUCUGUAUCUGCCUCUUCUUUCCAUGGAGACCUGCAGUCUCCAGUCACCCCGAAUGUACCCUUUUCCAGUGUCUGUGGAGAUAAAACAGCAUCCAAUAUUUCAGCAAAUAGAAACCUUAUCCAAACAAAGGUAGAGGGUAGAGUCAUUACUUUCAAUCAAAAGCACAUGUUUAAAAAAAAAAAAAAAACCUGACUGGACACUCGCUGGAUUGAAAACACAAGCUUGUAAAGUGCAGAGCACAGAGUUUGAAGCUGAAUAAUUAUUGCAGGUUUUCUGCGUUUGACUGUCAAGAAAUGUGAGAAAGUGAUUUAUUGUCUCUCUCACCACCUUUAAGUGAAAGACGGUAAUAAAAUAUCCUUCAAAGCUGA